AAUCAACGCUGGCGGCGUGCCUAACACAUGCAAGUCGAACGCGAAAGGGGCAUCGGCCCUGAGUAGAGUGGCGUCCGGGUGAGUAACGCGUGGGUAAUCUGCCUCUGGGUGGGGAAUAACUCAGGGAAACUUGAGCUAAUACCGCAUAAUGCAGCGGCUCGACAUCGAGACAGUUGUUAAAGCAGAAAUGCGCCUAGAGA
rnacentral:rRNA from 1 species